GAAAAGAAAAUUCGGUGAAAAUUCUGACAAGCCGAGAUCGAUUGAGAUUCGAAUGAGAUUCGAAUUCUCGAUGCUAAACGAAAGAAAGGGAGGGUUUAAGAAAAUGGCGAGAUUCGAUGCGAAGACGAUCGUCAAGGACAAGAGAUUCUGGGUCGCUUCUUUAAUCAUCGUCUGGGCUGCUAGUCUUCAGGGUCACAUGAUGUGGCUGCAGAGGCAAGAUUCAUUUAAGCACAAGUUUGGAACAAUUGAUGAAGACGACCACCACAAGUAAUAUAACAAGAGUUUAUGUCUCUGAAACAACUUCUUCUGUUUUUGUGUAUUGUGAGUCUUGUUUGGAUUAUAAUCAUAAAUACAUAAGAGGAUAAAAUCUUGUAUUAGGAUUCCUGAUCUAUUAUUACACUAUCUCAAAUGGUUGAAAAAUAGAGUUUUGACUGUAAGAUAUUGCCAAUUGCAGUCUCUGUGAUUUGUGAGAUUAUUUUGUAUUAUUUAGCUUUGAGCUUUUUGCCUAUUGGAGUAUUUAGAUGCGUUCUC